AUGUGGCAUACGGCUCAGUAACACGUAGUCAACAUGCCCAGGGGACGUGGAUAACCUCGGGAAACUGAGGAUAAACCGCGAUAAGUCACUACUUCUGGAAUGGGUAAUGACUCAAAUCUACAUGGCCCCUGGAUUGGACUGCGGCCGAUCAGGCUGUUGGUGAGGUAAUGGCCCACCAAACCUGUAACCGGUACGGGCUCUGAGAGGAGGAGCCCGGAGAUGGGCACUGAGACAAGGGCCCAGGCCCUAUGGGGCGCAGCAGGCGCGAAACCUCUGCAAUAGGCGAAAGCCUGACAGGGUUACUCUGAGUGAUUUCCGUUAAGGAGAUCUUUUGGCACCUCUAAAAAUGGUGCAGAAUAAGGGGUGGGCAAGUCUGGUGUCAGCCGCCGCGGUAAUACCAGCACCCCGAGUGGUCGGGACGUUUAUUGGGCCUAAAGCAUCCGUAGCCGGUUCUACAAGUCUUCCGUUAAAUCCACCUGCUUAACAGAUGGGCUGCGGAAGAUACUAUAGAGCUAGGAGGCGGGAGAGGCAAGCGGUACUCGAUGGGUAGGGGUAAAAUCCGUUGAUCCAUUGAAGACCACCAGUGGCGAAGGCGGCUUGCCAGAACGCGCUCGACGGUGAGGGAUGAAAGCUGGGGGAGCAAACCGGAUUAGAUACCCGGGUAGUCCCAGCUGUAAACGAUGCAGACUCGGUGAUGAGUUGGCUUAUUGCUAACUCAGUGCCGCAGGGAAGCCGUUAAGUUUGCCGCCUGGGGAGUACGGUCGCAAGACUGAAAC
rnacentral:rRNA from 1 species